rnacentral:rRNA from 1 species
AGUGAACGCUGGCGGUAGGCCUAACACAUGCAAGUCGAACGGCAGCACAGUAAGAGCUGGCUCUUACGGGUGGCGAGUGGCGGACGGGUGGGGAAUACAUCGGAAUCUACUUUGUCGUGGGGGAUAACGGAGGGAAACUUACGCUAAUACCGCAUACGACCUACGGGUGAAAGCAGGGGAUCUUCGGACCUUGCGCGAUUGAAUGAGCCGAUGUCGGAUUAGCUAGUUGGCGGGGUAAAGGCCCACCAAGGCGACGAUCCGUAGCUGGUCUGAGAGGAUGAUCCGCCACACUGGAACUGAGACACGGUCCAGACUCCUACGGGAGGCAGCAGUGGGGAAUAUUGGACAAUGGGCGCAAGCCUGAUCCAGCCAUACCGCGUGGGUGAAGAAGGCCUUCGGGUUGUAAAGCCCUUUUGUUGGGAAAGAAAAGCAGCAGGUUAAUACCCCGCUGUUCUGACGGUACCCAAAGAAUAAGCACCGGCUAACUUCGUG